AGGCUCAGGGCUGUUUCUCCGCGGAUGGCCUCGUGGGCCGGCUGAGAUGCGCAUGCGCGCGGGUGCCUAACGGCUCUGCUGGGCUAGGUGCUCCUCCGAGCGGCUGGAGACUGGAGUGUCCCUGACGGAGGUUGCGGCUGGACCUGGUUACGUGCUGGUGCUGUGCUCCAGAGCGGCAGAAAACGAGUGGGAGCUGAGGUGUCUUGAAGCCGUCCCUCAGCCUGGGAGAAGAUCUUUGGCUUCAGGAUGGGGGUCAGGGAGUCGUUCCUGGGGGCCUGCAGGAGACGCAUGGCUACCUGGAGGGAGAAUCGUGGCAAGGAUGGCUUCUCAAAUCCUGGGUACCGAGUCCGGCAGAAGGAUCUGGGCAUGAUCCACAAAGCUGCCAUCGCAGGUGACCUGAACAAGGUGAUGGAGAGCAUCUUGCUCAGGCUGAAUGACGUGAACGACAGGGACAAGAAGAACAGGACUGCUCUACAUUUGGCGUGUGCCCAUCGCCGUCCAGGAGUGGUAGCUGACUUGGUGGCCAGAAAAUGCCAGCUUAACCUCACUGACAGUAAAAACAGGACAGCUCUGAUCAAGGCUGUACAAUGUCAAGAAGAAGUUUGUGCAUCCAUCCUGCUGGAACAUGGUGCCGACCCAAAUGUUAGAGAUAUGUACGGCAACACUGCUCUGCACUAUGCCAUUGAUAAUGAGAAUAUAUCAAUGGCAGGGAAACUGCUUGCAUAUGGUGCAGAUAUUGAAGCAAGAAGCCAGGGUGAACAUACAUCACUUUUGCUCGCUGUAAAUAGGAAAAAAGAGCAAAUGGUGGCAUUUUUGUUGAAGAAAAAACCAGAUUUAACUGCAAUAGAUAAUUUUGGAAGAACAGCCCUCAUACUUGCUGCUCGUAAUGGAUCAACAAGUAUAGUCUACCAGCUUCUUCAGCACAAUAUUGAUGUCUUUUGCCAAGAUAUAUCUGGAUGGACUGCAGAAGACUAUGCUGUUGCUUCUAAAUUUCAAGCCAUUCGUGGACUAAUUUCUGAAUAUAAAGCAAACAAGAGACGUAAAAGUCUUCAAAAUAGCGAUCCAGAACAAAACUUAGAAAUGACAUCAGAGGGAGAGCAAGAAAGGCUUGAAGGAUGUGAAAGUAGCCAGCCACAGGUUGAAGAAAAAAUGAAGAAAUGCAGAAAUAAGAAAACGGAAGUGUCAAGAAACGUACAUGCUGAUGACAGUGACAAUUAUAAUGACGAUGUUGAUGAAUUAAUUCACAAAAUAAAGAACAGAAAACCUGAUAAUCAUCAAUUUCCCGAGGAGGAGAAUGACAAGUUUGAUAGGCUUGCAAGGAAAACCUUUAAUGAAAAGAGCAAGGUUAAAAGCCAAAUAUAUUUCAGGGAUGACCUUAAUGACAUAACUGAGUCAUCUGAAAAAACCUCAGAGGAUGAUGAGUUGCCUUACUCUGAUGAUAAGAAUUUUAUGUUACUCAUUGAACAACGUGGAAUGGACUGUAAAGAUUUUGUUAGCCUGUUGAAAAUCAAGAAUGCAACAGCUUCAUGUGAAAGAUCAAUAGAGGAUAAAAAAUGUUACUGUGAACGACUUAAAGUAAAAUUUCAAAAAAUGAAAAAUAAUAUUAUCGUACUACAAAAGGUACUAUCUGAAACAGACAAAACCAAAUCACAGUUAGAGCAUCAGAAUCUUGAAAGGAAGAAAAAGCUCUGUAAUUUGAGAUUUAUCUUACAAGAAGAAGAAGAAGAAAGAAUAAAGGCUGAAGAGUUGUUUGAAAAAGAUACAGAAGAGUUAAAAAUAAUGGAAGAGCAAUAUGUGACACAAACUGAAGUGAAACAACUUAAACUGACUCUCAGAUCAUUGGAAGUGGAAUUGAAGACUGUAAGAAGUAACUCAAAUCAGAAUUCUCAUACUCAUGGAAAAGAAAGAGACCUGUGGCAGGAAAAUCACUUGAUUCGGGAUGAAAUUGCCAGACUUGGGCUGGAAAUUGACACAAUAAAACAUCAGAACCAGGAAACUAAAAAUAAAUAUUUCAAAAAUAUUGAAAUUAUAAAGGAAAACAACGAAGACCUUGAAAAGACUCUAAAGCUGGAUGAGGAAACAUUAACAAAAACAAUAACCCAGUAUAGUAAAGAGCUUAAUGUUCUGAUGGAUGAGAAUACAAUGCUCAAUUUUGAGCUAGAGAAGGAAAAACAAAGCAAGUCAAGACUGGAAGCAGAAAUGGAAUCAUACCGUUGUGGACUGGCUGCUGCCCUAUGUGAUCAUGAUCAAUGUCAGUCAUCAAAAAGAGACCUACAGCUUGCUUUCCAGAGCACAGUGAAUGAAUGGUGUCAUUUACUAGAAAAUAGGUAUUCUCACAUUCAGAUUCUUUCUCAGCAACUUUCUAAAGCUGAGAGUACAUCCAGUGGCCUGGAAACUGAGCUCCGUUAUGAAAGAGAGGCUCUCAAAGAAAAGACGUUGGGUAUAGAACACCUGCAAGGAGUCCUAAGCCAAACACAGUGUCGAUUGAAGGACAUUGAACACAUGUACCAAAAUGACCAACGAAUUUGGGAGAAAUACGUGAGAAAGCAGCAAUCUGUAGAGGAUGGACUAUUUCAACUACAAAGCCAAAAUCUGUUAAUUCAACAGCAAUGUAAUGAUGCUCACAAGAAAGCUGACAAUUGGGAAAAAACAAUAAUUAAUAUCCAAGCCAAAUGUGAAGAUACCAAAUGUGAAGAUACUGUAGAAGAACUUCAAGCUGACUGUAGAAAGCUAGAAGAGAACAAUAAGAGGUUGAUGAAGGAAUGCACUCUUUUAAAAGAAAGACAAUGCCAAUAUGAAAAAGAGAAAGAAGAAGGAGAAGUAGUCGUGAGACAGCUUCAACGAGAAGUGGGUGAUGCCCUGAACAAACAAUUGCUGUCAGAAGCUAUGCUAGAGAUUUCAUCACAACAUCGUGUUAAUUUAGAAGAUGAGACACGAAAUUCAAAAAAGAAAUUAGGCCAGAUGAGAAGUCAAUUGCAAGAAAUGCAGGAUCAAUGCACAGAGACUCCAAGAUGUGCUGAGGAGAUGUCAGACCACGUGCAAAAGCUUAAAAUAGAAAAUGCCAUGUUAAAAAUUAGAAUGAAAAAGCGAGCGGACAAAAUUGAGCAGCUUCAGAAAAUUUUGAUGCAGCAGGUGUACAAGGAAACAUAACUGCAGAAGUAGAUGAAGAGUUACUGCACAUUUCUGUGUCAUCUACAUGCCAUGAAAGUCUUAAAAUCAAUUGUCAAUUUCUACAAAAUACCUGCUUGGAUUUGGACUGUGAUUGCAUUAUGUCAUGAGAAAGAAUGAACAUCUUAACUAUGAUGAGUCUCUCAACCUGUGAAUAAGACUUCAGUCAUAGACUUCUCAGCUGCCUUGAGGGAUUGGAUGAGCCUUGGCCAACUCUUGAAGGAAACAAUAAAAUCACUUUAAUAUGCUACUUUUCAUUUUGAAGUCAUUACAGUAUCAUUUGCAAAACUCAACAAGGAAAGAUGCCUGUGGAUGGCCGUGUUCUUGGAGUCACUGAGAUGAGGUGCUGCCUGCUUUCACCCAACCUGAUCUGGGGCUCAGACAGCUACAGGCCCGAGUGGCUGGGAGGUUUGGAGGGAACCAGGUUUAGCUGUGAUGAGAGCACCUUGCUGUGGGCUGGGAGGUGGGAGUGCAGGGCAGCCUGGGCUCCCCUGGCCCCAUACUCAGAUCAGCAAGUGCCCAGCGGAGGCCACAUGGCCCCAGCACCAAACAGUGUAGGGUCUGUGGGUCCCAGCAUUUCCACAUCCUGAAAAGUGACACGUGAACUGUUUCCUAGGCAAGUUCUCUUCCACCAUGUUCUGGAUGAGGUCCGUGAGCUCCUUCCAGUUUCACAAAGAAUGUGCAGAAGGUGGAAAGAGUGAGGGACGCAGGCCCAGCUGCAGCUGCACUCAGGCCCCUCAGUCAUAAAGUCCGGGUGAGGGGCUGGAUAGGCGCUGACAGGAAAGCAGCCCCUGUUCCUCUUCCCUAGCCAGGUUCUCACAUGUCCCUGAGGAACUAGAGAGGAACGCCUCUGGGAAGCCCAGCCAGGGCCAACCGGAAGGGCCUUUGGGUGAAGUCUGACAUCCUACAUUAGUUUCUCUGGACCUGGUGAGAACCAGCCCCCAGGGGAAGGACUGUUUUGCCAGCACCAACUCUCCAGCUGGGCUGUUGGUUCCCAUUGCCUCCCGUCAUGGAUACAGAAAAGCAGCCAGGCUAUUCCAAGUGGAGUAAAUACAGAGCUGGCUGAGGCAGGGCCAGCUGAGGUGCAAACUCCAUGGGGUUUACUGUCACUCCGCCAGUCAUCUGUCCAGCAGGCCUCAGCUUCACACACAGGGAAACAGAAGGAAUGCAUCUACUCACUGGGCGUCACACUGCUCCCGCUCACAGCCACCGCCUGCAUCGAGGCAACAUGCAGGCGGGAGCUUGGUCCCAGGAGGUGUCUGUAAACUUAUGUCCUGGGGUGGGCCACUGCAGAUGGCCUGUCCUUGCCUUCUCAUCACCAAAUCCCCAUUUUUGGUGCUGACGCAGAUGUCCAGACGUUAAAAUCGCUGAUGUUUUCACAAGACCCACAAAGAGGGAGGGUCCAGGCACAUUUUUUGUUUCUGUAUCACCCUGGAAUUAUGGGCAAAUUUCCCCAAAAACCAUGUGUACUGUGAUUGUACGUACUGGGGUGGAUAUAUUAGACUAGGGGGCCGCAGAUGGGCGGGGAAAAUCUUUUAUGUGAGGUAUUCCUCUAAGCAAUUCUUGACAACUCUUCUCCUCCCUUCUGGAAGCUUCUGGCACUGGAUGUGGAGACAUGGCAUAUCAGGGGUGCAGGUCAAGACCACACGUGCUUGGCACAGUGCACAGAACUUGGCUGGGCUGUGGCCUCUCAGGAUUUUCCAGCUCAUGAAGGCAGAGGAGAUGAAGAGAGGCCGAUUGAUGUGAGGGUGAGGUUGCCUUGCUUUCCCUAAAAUAGGCAUGUUCCUUUCUUGGUUGCUUUUUCAGUUAACUUUACAUGUAAAAAAAAUAAUGUGCAUUAUAGAUAUUAAAUACUGUUUUCUGGGGUUGUGGAAGAAGAGAUCUUAGCAACUGAUAUGUAAUCCAAAAUAACAUUUACAUAUGAUGGCCUCAGGUUAUAGACUGUAUCCAUGGGGUCCUUGUUCUUGAAAGCAAUGUCUUCUUGGAUUAAGCAUUUUGCACUUGCCAACCUAAACGGACCUAAGAGAUACACCUUCUAGGAAAAGCUCAUGUCUUUUCCAGUGUGCAUCCUACCCUUGUUUUGGGGGCCUUGGAGUUGACUACAGUUUCUGAUCCAGUCUUUAAUGCUCUUUGAGAGAAACAGAGCCAUGUGCAAACAAUCCACAGCUCAGUGUGCCCCUCAUAAAGCUUUGUUCUGUAUUGCGGGUCGUGCAGGUGGCGCCUCUGAGGUGUGACUCCAAUAAGUACUCUGGAAUUACUUGCUGAGAAAGAAAAGUCUGGAUGCCAAGAAAGGUGUGACAUCCUUGCUGGCUUCAACGUGAAGAGCCACCCUGAUUUUGGGAUUCUGAUAGGAAUAAGGAUAGUGGACUUUUUUUUUUUUUAAGUUCUCCAGGCAAAAAUUAUGACCAAAUGUCUCCAUCUGAUGAAGCAGCUGCACUCCUAUGGGGGUACUGGGCUGUGUGCUUGCCUGGUGUCUUAUGAGUCUGCAUUGUGUGACGUGAUUGUGUGUGUUUUAGUAUAGGGGAGGCUGUGUGUUUUCUCAGGAGAGAUUUUCCAUUUACACAGCACAAUUGCCAGUCUCCACUUCUAAAAAGUAAAAUCCACCCCUGUUCUACUCUAUACAUGACUCAUUCACCCGUGCCAGAGCCACCUUUUAUUACCCUCACUGCUCAGGUGGAGAAUCUGAAGGGCCAAUGGGAAUGGCCCCAGCUUUUGAGCUCCUGAAUGAAAAAGUCAAAACAUGAGCUCAGGUGUGUGGCCCAAUGCUGACACUGUCACCUGCUGACACGCACUUAUGCCUCAGUCACAGGGUGUUCAUUACCAUGCAGGGAGUCCAGCAUUCAUGUACAAGCCCUAAAGCACUGAGCCUGAGAGGUCCCAGACUCUGCCCAUCACCAUGAAGUGACCUCCGUGGUCACAUAACCCAGAGCAGUUACAGGCACAUCUUCCUACAGACGAGCAUUGUCAUCAGUGUCAAAAUCACAAAGAUUCCCGGAUGUUUUGGGUCAGCUCACAGGUUCUAAGACGUGGGGGACCAUGUAGAACAGUUCUGACAAUUCUGAAGGUAUUUUUCUCAGCAGCUGGCCAAAGCUUAUAAGGAACAAUGAUAUAUUUCAGUAGAUUUAGUAAUGUUCACAAGCCCUAAAAUGCUCAAAUCCUGCCGGCUAAAAAUGGUGAAGAGACAGAUAAGAACACUGCACCACUCAGUGUGGUUUCCGUUGCCUCGUGGCAACUCUGUUGUAUAUCUGGACUAAGGACCCUCAGCCUCAACCUAGCCUUUCCUCCAUGAGGAACCAUCUCACUGUUGACUGACUAGUGUAGCCUGCAUGGCCAUUAGCCUACGUGAAAUGAAGUUUUGCUUUAAAACAAGUGUAAAUCUCAUACAGCAGAUAAGUGCAGUAGCAGCAUGAUCUUGCAAGUUGUAAAGAAGACAGCAGCGAUGUAACUGGACUUGAAGCCAGACAGGAGGAAUGAGGGAACUCUGUCACUGAAUUACAGCACGCAGAGUUGAAGACCAUUUAUAGACAAUUUCGUGUUACAGUAGGUAGCCUUUAGCUAGUAAGCAAAGGUCUCUAUUUCUCAGUUCUUUCCUGUUCAUCUUCAUUGUUGUCCUUCCAAAAGGGCAAACAGCCCAAGCAGAAGGCAAUUUUAGUAUUAAUCUAACUAAGGUUUUGUGUAGUUUACUAUCAUCCAGGUAAGCAAAUACAACUGCCUGCCUGCAUGCCUGCCUGUCCCCAACCCCUGCUCUGUGUUUUCAUUUAAUAAAUUAUUUGGUGUUCUACUUGCCAUGUGCUAGAUUUUCUGAAAACCACAAAGAAAAUGAGAUAGAGUCUUUAUAUUGACAGCUGAUAAGUUAGAUUUAACAUAACUGACAAAAAUUAAAAAUUGCAACUUUUAUAAAAAUAUAUAUUUCUGAAUACAUACUGAAUGUAAGGUAGUUAACAAAAAUAAUUACACUUGCACUCAUGGGCAGUUUCUUAUAAACUUGUCAAUUUCUAUUUUUUCUGCUUCCUCAUUUCAGUAGAUGAUGCAUAUCUGAACCUGGAAACGGCUUCCCGCUGUAGAGCGUGUUCUGAGUCACUUCCCUUAGCUUCCCCAGAGCAGGUCCAGCAGGCUCUGAGCUUGGCCUCUUUGCCUGAAACAAGACCUCUAGGUAAUGUCUCCAGGGAGGGUGGCACAAAGGAUCCUGGAUCUCCUGAUCACAGCAGCCCAAGACUGCUGUGCGUGCACCAUGGCUCAAGAAGAUUUAAAAAGGGGAAAGUAUGACUAUUUCUAAUCUGUAGUAGUUCAGUAUUUUUAAUGUUUCGGUUAUCCAUAUGAAAAAGAAUUUGCGAUAAAUAGAAUAAUUUGCCUACAAUUGAAUAUUUCACCAAUAAAAUUGGCUUUUAAUCAAGUGAUAAAUCCUGUAAAAUAGAUAAUAGAUGCAGUACCAACAUAAUUUGAUUCUAGUACACUGAGAUGAUCUUGAAUACGUUAAGAAAGUGUUGUUUGUGUAGAAGAGUUUCAAAUCAUGUGAGUGAUGAAGAGACCCUUCUGUUGAACCUUGGUGUGCAUUUUAGGUCCAUUUUGGGUUUGCUUCUUUGUGCCGCUUCAUGAUGCCUUAGGACAAGGACAAGGCCUAGGCCUCCUUGUCUCAGUUCCCUCUUGCUCUCUCUGUUGCCCUCCUCCUUCCACCUGGAGCAUGGCCCAGCAUCAGGUUGGUGCAUGCUGUGAUCAGCCACCUCCAUGCACCACACCAAGCAGAGCUCUCUGGGUGACACAGUUGCUGCCACCAGGGCACUGACCUUUACUCUGUGUUCUCCUAGUUCCUCCUGAGGGUGCUGUAGGAGGCAUCUGCAAAAAAGAAGAUGCUGGCAAUGUAAGACACUUUUCUUGGUCUUAAACAGAAAUGUUACUUUCCUGGCUGCUUUCCUUUCCAGUCAAAUAUACACAUGGGAAUCUGACAGUGUGCAUUAUCUAUGAUGUCCACAGUUCCCUUGCUGGGUGGUACUGGUUGGCAGCCUCUCACCAACCCACACCUGGCAUACUGGGGCCUUGUAGAUGGCAGCAUUCCCUAUUCACUGCAAUGCAGAGGGCUUUCCCUCAGCAGUAGUUUUUCCCAUGGAUAAAGAGUUGUGAAACUGGCUGGGUCCAGUGGCUCACACCUGUAUUCCCAGCACUUUGGGAGGCCAAGACGGGCGGAUCACCUGAGGUCAGGAGUUCAAAACUAGCCUGGCAAACAAUGAUGAAACCCCGUCUGUACUAAAAAUACAAAAGUUAGCUGGGCUUGGUGGCAUGUGCCUGUAGUCCAGACACUUGGGAGGCUGAAGAAGGAGAAUCGCUUGAACCUGGGAGGCGGAGGUUUCAGUGAGCCGAGAUCAAGCCACUGCACUCCAGCCUGGACAGCAAGACUCCGUCUAAAGAAAAAAAAAGA